CGAAACUAACAGAUUUACUUCGGUAAUGACGUUAGGAAAGCGAGCGGCGGAUGGGUGAGUAACACGUGGGGAACCUGCCCCAUAGUCUGGGAUACCACUUGGAAACAGGUGCUAAUACCGGAUAAGAAAGCAGAUCGCAUGAUCAGCUUUUAAAAGGCGGCGUAAGCUGUCGCUAUGGGAUGGCCCCGCGGUGCAUUAGCUAGUUGGUAAGGUAAAGGCUUACCAAGGCGAUGAUGCAUAGCCGAGUUGAGAGACUGAUCGGCCACAUUGGGACUGAGACACGGCCCAAGCUCCUACGGGAGGCAGCAGUAGGGAAUCUUCCACAAUGGACGCAAGUCUGAUGGAGCAACGCCGCGUGAGUGAAGAAGGUUUUCGGAUCGUAAAGCUCUGUUGUUGGUGAA
rnacentral:rRNA from 1 species